UUAUUUACGUAUUUGGGUGAACGAUUUUGCGACGAGUAGUCUAGUUUGAAGUUUGUAAUCCGAAAAUAUUGACGCAUCGGUGGCCGCUAGCACUGUGUAGAAGACGCCAUGUCAACGCAAAAUGUGGGAAAUGAGGAAAAUGCAGCCACAAAGUCAAAACGACCUUCAGAUUCAGCUUUCAAGCAACAACGACUGCCCGCCUGGCAGCCAGUGCUGACCGCACGAACUGUUCUGCCCACCUUCUUUAUCAUUGGUAUCCUAUUCGUGCCCAUUGGCGUGGUGCUGCUGCACUUUUCCAACUCAGCCAAUGAGCUCAUCAUCGACUACACCAGGUGCAAGCAGGUGGGCUCUGAUAAGACCUGCGCUGACUUUCUGGAGAGCACAACUGCCGGCCAGUGCUUGUGCGAGAUACCCUUCAAUCUAACGGAAGAUUUCCUUGGCACCGUUUAUAUGUACUAUGGCCUAACUAACUACUAUCAGAACCAUCGACGCUAUGUGAAAUCACGCGAUGAUGAGCAGCUGUUGGGCCAUCUGUCCCUGACCCCCAGUUCAGACUGCACACCCUUUGCCUAUGCGGACGACGGCAGACCGAUUGCGCCAUGCGGAGCCAUUGCCAAUUCCCUCUUUAAUGACACGUUGACAUUGAGUCAGGGCAGCACAGAAAUUAAAUUAUUAAAUACUGGCAUUGCAUGGCCAUCAGAUAAACGUGUCAAAUUCCGUAAUCCCCCCGGAAACCUAUCGGAAGCAUUGAAACCCUUUUCGCCACCUAUCUUCUGGAAGCAACCUGUCGACGAAUUGGACCCGCAAAAUCCGGCCAACAAUGGUUUCCAAAAUGAGGAUCUAAUCGUAUGGAUGCGCACGGCUGCCUUGCCCAGUUUUCGUAAGCUCUACCGCCGCCUGGACCAAACAAACAACAGCUACUCGAAGGGGCUGAAAGCGGGCCAAUAUACGCUAAAAAUUAAGUACAACUAUCCUGUCGUAUCGUUUGGUGGCACCAAGCGUAUGAUCCUAUCGACGACCUCUGUGCUUGGCGGUAAAAAUCCAUUCUUAGGCAUUGCCUAUAUUGUUGUGGGUGCUAUUUGUGUGGUACUUGGACUUGUGCUGCUCCUCAUCCAUAUGCGGUGCAGUCGUAGCUUUGACUUCAUUUGAAGCUCAAGUACCUCAAGCUCCAUCAAAGCAAAAAGAUCUAAAUGGCUGUCGAAUUUACCGAGCAUUUGCAGCAAUAUGGAGAUGAUCAGCGUCAAUCCGCACACCCAGUACUCGUAGAGGCAUGGAAUUCGCUUAUGAUAGUAUUUUGUGGCGGAGCUCCUCUUGCGCCUGUGCACCAUAUAUAUUAAGCUAUAGUAUCUUUUUUAAGCGUAAUAAUUUAUGAAUGUUUUUUGCAACAGAAUACACAAUUAGUUUCUAUUAGUAUUUAUGUAUAACACUGAACGGCAUCGUUGGCUGUGUUUGUUUUUUUUUUUUUUUUUUUUUUUUUUUUUUUGUAUUUUUGUUACCGUAUUGUAAUGUUAACUAUGUUUUGCAAUUUUAAUUACAUGUAACGUUUGUUAAUGAUUCCUCUAA